rfam:Ciona savignyi cont_32845, whole genome shotgun sequence.
GUCGUCGUGGCCGAGUGGUUAAGGCGACAGACUAGAAAUCUGUUGGGCUCUGCCCCCACAGGUUCGAAUCCUGUCGGCGACG